rnacentral:rRNA from 1 species
CAACUUUUAGCAACGGAUCUCUUGGCUCUCGCAUCGAUGAAGAACGCAGCGAAAUGCGAUAAGUAAUGUGAAUUGCAGAAUUCAGUGAAUCAUCGAAUCUUUGAACGCACCUUGCGUUAUAUGGUAUUCCGAGGAGCAUGCCUGUUUGAGUGUCAUG